GUGCACGCUGGCGGUAGGCCUAACACAUGCAAGUCGAACGGCAGCACAGUAAGAGCUUGCUCUUACGGGUGGCGAGUGGCGGACGGGUGAGGAAUACAUCGGAAUCUACUUUUUCGUGGGGGAUAACGUAGGGAAACUUACGCUAAUACCGCAUACGACCUACGGGUGAAAGCAGGGGAUCUUCGGACCUUGCGCGAUUGAAUGAGCCGAUGUCGGAUUAGCUAGUUGGCGGGGUAAAGGCCCACCAAGGCGACGAUCCGUAGCUGGUCUGAGAGGAUGAUCAGCCACACUGGAACUGAGACACGGUCCAGACUCCUACGGGAGGCAGCAGUGGGGAAUAUUGGACAAUGGGCGCAAGCCUGAUCCAGCCAUACCGCGUGGGUGAAGAAGGCCUUCGGGUUGUAAAGCCCUUUUGUUGGGAAAGAAAAGCAGCAGGUUAAUACCCCGCUGUUCUGACGGGACCCAAAGAAUAAGCACCGGCUAACUUCGU
rnacentral:rRNA from 1 species